CGGAGAGGGCGCAUGAGAGACGGCUACCACAUCCAAGGAUGGCAGCAGGCGCGCAAAUUACCCAAUCCUGAUUCAGGGAGGUAGUGACAAGAAAUAACGAAGUAGGACACAUUGUGAUUCUGCUAUUGGAAUGAGUGGGUUUUAAAAAUCUCCACGAGUAACAAUUGGAGGGCAAGUCUGGUGCCAGCAGCCGCGGUAAUUCCAGCUCCAAUAGCGUAUAUUAAAGUUGUUGCAGUUAAAAAGCUCGUAGUUGAAAUUGUGUGCGUAGGGUUGGUCUGGCGAUUGUCGUGCCAAUUCUAUGUACAUUUCUCGAAUUUAUUCGGGACUGUUACUUUGAGGAAAUUAGAGUGCUCCAAGCAAGCUUUGCUUUGAAUACUUCAGCAUAGGAUAACGUCAUAAGACUUUGGUUUUCGUUGUUAGUUCUGUGACCAGAGUAAAGGUUAAUAGGAACGGUUGGGGGCAUUCGUAUUCAACAGUUAGAGGUGAAAUUCUUAGAUCUGUUGAAGACGCACUAAUGCGAAAGCAUCUGCCAAGGACGUUUUCAUUAAUCAAGAACGAAAGUUAGGGGAUCGAAGACGAUCAGACACCGUCGUAGUCUUAACCAUAAACUAUGCCGACUAGAGAUUGGAGGUCGUCCAUCUUGACUCUUCCAGCAUCUUAAGAGAAAUCAAAGUUUUUGGGUUCUGGGGGGAGUAUGGUCGCAAGGCUGAAACUUGAAGGAAUUGACGGAAGGGCACCACCAGGAGUGGAGCCUGCGGCUUAAUUUGACUCAACACGGGAAAACUCACCAGGUCCAGACAUAGGCAUGAUUGACAGAUUGAUCGUUCUUUCUUGAUUCUAUGGGUGGUGGUGCGUGGCCGUUCUUAGUUGGUGGAGUGAUUUGUCUGGUUAAUUCCGUUAACGAACGAGACCUCAGCCUGCUAAAUAGGGUUCUGCGGUUCGCCGCAGCAAUACCUUCUUAGAGGGACUUUGGGCAGAAAGCUCAAGGAAGAUUGAGGCAAUAACAGGUCUGUGAUGCCCUUAGAUGACCUGGGCUGCACGCGCGCUACAAUGGUUCGGAGAGCGAGCGUAUCCUGUCCCGUGAGGGAUGGGUAAUCUUGUGAAUCCGAAUCGUGAUCGGGAUCGAUUCUUGUAAUUAUUAAUCGUGAACGAGGAAUUCCUAGUAAGCACGAGUCAUCAACUCGUGCUGAUUACGUCCCUGCCCUUUGUACACACCGCCCGUCGCUGCCUCCGAUUGGGUGUUGAGAUGAAUUAUUCGGACUGUUUUAUUUAUAGAAUGGGAAGUUUCGUAAACCUUAACACUUAGAGGAAGCAGAAGUCGUAACAAGGUAACC
rnacentral:rRNA from 1 species